AGUCGUGCUGGAACUGUAUAGUGGAAAAGCAGCAUUUGUGUGUGUGCAAACUAAACUAAAACUAAACUUCUUCUGUAUAAUAUCUGCACCUCGUCGACGUCGUCACAGUGCACGCCGUCUCCCGUGUACCCGUCAGGACACGGGGCACAGUGGAUUUCUCCUGACUCUGAGCGGAUGCACAUGUCCUGCCUGAAGCACGUUCCAGGAAGACACUGAGUCUGUGGUUGACUCUGCAUGACAAACUGAGCCGGAGCUGAAGCCGGACGUGUGCUGGUCGGACUUCCCCCAAGACCUGUGGACACACACACACACACACACACGGACACACACAUCUAUUAGGGACCUUGUUGAAACGUCAGCAGAGUCUAAACUUUUUUUUUUUUUUUUUUUAUUCUUACCACACGCAAGGCACUCGGCGAUGGUGUUCCUCAGAAAAGUUAUUUCUUUAAUCUGGACCAGAGAGGACAGGGUAAAGAACGGUUAGCCAACUGUGAUGCUUUACAGCGGGGGCCUAAAACUCAAAUUACCUGGGGGCCACUGAACAUCUAGUCUGGUCAGGAGGGGCCGGACAGGUGAAAAAAAUAUUCAAACACGAUAUUUUUUUUACAGAAUUUCGGGAUAAAAGUGUUUGUUUUCACAAUAAAAAAUGUAUUUAUAAAGCAAAAUUAUUAAGUCUAUAUCAACACAGGCAAACAUGCUAAUUAUUUUUGAAUAAACAAAAUGCUCUCUUAGAUUUUUAAUGAUAAUGUUGAGGUGAAGAGCUCAUGUUCAGCUGAUUCAUUUCUGUUGCUGAAGAAUAUUGACGUCAUUCUUACUUUCAGUUAUUCAGUCAAAGAUUAUUUAAACAAGAACAAGUUCUGCUGGGAUUAGGAACCUCUUGUUCCUGUAUUUCAUGUCUCACAAAAACUCAUCUCAUCACAAAGGAUAAAUAUAUGUAAUUUAUGGAAGCGUAAGUGCUUGUGAAUCAGUACACUUAUCUGUUUUGUGCGGUUUCUGCUGGUCUGACCUCUAUAAACUGGUUGGAUUUUGUCUACUGCUGUUUUUGCUGUUGUGAGGAAAACAACGAUUAAUCGUAAUUUACUCUAAUGAUGCGUGUCUCACAUCCAACGUCCUUCUUUUGUUUUUUACACGUUAAUGUACUGACUUUGGAAAAACUGACUAAUGGAACAAACUACAACAUGCACUUAAAUUGUGUACACGUAUCAUCUUUUUACAUGUAAUCUAUUUCUUAUUUACCGUCUGGUCAGUCAGAUCUGCCAAGAAUAUUUUAUUCAUUUCUUUCACUAACUUUGUUUGUCUGUGUUGCUGUUGUAUAUUUUUUACACUUGUAAAACUUGUCACAUUGUUUUGUGUGUUUCUCUUCAGCACAGGUGCCAAACUCAAGGCCCACAGUUCCACAUCGGGCCCGCCGUGCAGUUGUAUUCGGCCCAAGAGAAAAUAUGUGAUGUCUGUUCCUGCUUUUUUCCCCCUCACUGACUCACUUAUUAGUACUGCACUUAUCAAGUUACCUCACCAGUAAAAUAACCCCCUCAUUUGUAUUUGGCUCCCUCUCUUUUAUCUAGUAAAAAUUACAGCACAUUAGUGGCUAAGAUACAUGUGACUACAGGCCUGUAUGUGCUGUUCUUGUGACAUACAGCAGAGGACAUCAGGCAAGACAGAUGGAAAUGGACAAUGGAAAAAUCUUUUAUUCUGAACUUUUUGUCAUUUGACCUCAUCUGGCUCUCGACUUGGACGCUCUACAGGACACACACACACACACACACACACACAGUUACCUGCUGGUUUAGCAUCUCCUUCAUCUCAGUCAGCAUGUUCCUCAGCUCCUGCAUGGUGGCCUCGUUCUUUGCCGUCCGGGCCUCCUGGAAAUCUGAGGCCCGCUCACGCGUCACAAUGACAGAAUCUGAUCAGUUGCACAGAUUCACCCUGACCAGCGCUACAGUCCUGCAGCGUGGCCACGUUGUCUAUCGUGUCCCCGGUCACCAGCUUGAAGUCUGUGAGUUCAUCCUGACACAAGAAAUGAAGGGUCCUGAGGGCCACCUUGUUGGGCCCAGGUGGGAUUGACCCAAACACGGCAGGCAGAUCGUUCAGAGAGUGUGCCAGUCUGCAGUCUAUGUAGACGUUGAGGUGAGGUGAACCGUUCAGCAGACCGCUGCCGUGGAGCAUCACGUGGUGGCUGUGGCCGUUCGCCAGGGGGGCGUGGUUGAAACUGGUUGUGUUGAAUCUGCCGUCGGUCCUCAGGUAACGGAGGGUUACUGAAGAUGGACAGAGAUGCAUGGAUGGUGAGGAGCCAGGACUUACCAGUGCCUUCAGCUGUGACUGUGAGCACCAGCUGUUGCAGCAGCAGCAGAGACAGAGCUGCAGCUCUGGUCCACAGAGACAUCAUCUGUGGUGCGGAACGGGGACACACCUCAAGAAGAAGAAGAAGAAGAAGAAGGAGCCGUCUCUCCCUUUGAAGAAAGAAUUCAAUUUCCUUCUGUGGAUCAAUAAACGUGUCCCAGGCUGAUCACAAGCAGAGUGAUGGACAAGUCCCAGGUCUUGAAAUAUCAGCAGAGGUGAGUUUUU